rnacentral:hammerhead_ribozyme from 1 species
AUCCAGCUGGCGGACGAAUCCCAAAUAGGACGAAAUGCGCAUCCUGGAU